rnacentral:lncRNA from 1 species
UUUUUUAUUUUUUUGUUUUUUGUUUAUCAUGAAGAUCUUCCGAAGUGAGAUGUAAGUGAAUUCAUGCAUGGGUUUCGGAGGAUCUUCUGGGAGGAUUGGUUGCACUUGGAAAUCUCGAUCAAGGUCAGUACGCCACAUUCUUCGAACAAAUUGAAGUCUAACUCCACAAUUUCGCUAAGGGAAACGCGGCUGCCCCCAUAGCAAGAGAAGCAACUUCUAACCCCUCUGCUGCUGUGAAAAAGGUGUUAGAGAUUCCAGCGCCAGAGAAGGAAAGUCAUGAGGUGCCUACCAAGGAGAUAGAAUCUGAUGUUGUACCUCUCAGACACAGUUGGAUACACUACAGCCCCUGCUGAUGGUUCUCCUCUUCACUCCUGACCUGGUGGCUUCUUCUGAAGAGAGUGCAUGAUCUGCAGAACCAGAAGAUUACCUUGUCUACAAAAACCUUGCAAUAUAUCACAUGAUCCUGAAGUCCAAAAUUCUGCUUGAAGAAACUAGGUUCCAGAAAAAACAUCUGUUUUACAGAUGAUCGUCACUAGACAUUGCUGGCGAAAGUCUUCGAAAGGAGUGCUAGUGUAGAUUCAAACAUAGCCUGCCAUGCAAAUGAAAGAAUGGAUUUAUAGUGCAAUCUACAUUUAACUGCCAGAUUACUGCCGUAUAGGAUGUUAAUUGCAACAAAAAAGUUUCGCAGUUACAGAUAAACCGAGUAGGGUGCAAAUUCAGAGACUGAUUUACAGUUAUCUAAACAGGAAUCCCCAAGUCAUUUGGUUUUAACUGUUACUCUUUAUGUUGCACUUCAACUGCUCUUGAACAUGCAAUAUAGAAAAAUCAAGUUUGGAAACUUGAGCUCAAGCGUGAUUUCCAAAAUUUGUUUGGUUGCUGUAAAGAUAAUACUAGGAUAUUGAGUCUUGUUUAAGAAAGAUAAUCUACAAAGAGCGCCCUUCAAAGGUUUAACACCUGACACCGCUCAUAGCGAACUCAAACCGAAGAUGAAUCUGAGCAGACGAAGUUAAGUUGUUAUGGUUUUGAAGAAAACUGGAAGAACAAUUAUUGAAGGGUAAAAGCCUCCGAAAUACCUUAAACCCUGUAUCAGAAUUCUAAUGAUGCGACUCCUACAAAGCUCGUCAACACUGGAUUGUACACAUGCUGGCUGACAAGUCCACCACGUCCUGCGUCCACUGCAUUUAUGUCGACCGUACUCGUCAGUUUACCAGGUGAUGGACAAGACAAAUGACAGGGACAGGGUCAGAAAAACAUCCCCCAGCUUGUCUCCAGAUGAAAGUGGUCCACACAUUGCAAGGUACUUCCAUUAGCUGUUAACGGAGAAUCAAACCUGAAUUCGUUUAGCUAGACCCCAAAAUAGUGGAGAAUAUCUUUAAGCGAACACAUGGACUGAAGAAAGGGAGCAGUUUACCCAUGUAAAAAUGGUUGAGGCAUGCUCCCGAUCUGUAGGAAAAGGAGGAGCCUCUCUAUCCAUUCAUAUGUAAAAACACUGCAGAAAUCAAUGCGUUUCCAAAAUUUAGAGCACAGUAAUUGAAACAUCCCAGAAAUAAACAAAUCUUUGAAGUGAUUCAGCACCCAUGACUAGUGCCUGGAUAUCAACUUACGCCUUUUCAAAAAUCUAUAUUUAAAACAUGAUCCAUAUCGAUCCGUCGACAUGCAGAUGCCAAACAAAUAAAGAAUUCAAUCCACCAACCUCUCAGCUCAGGAGAAAUGACACAGAAAUACAUGGUAUAAUUAUGUUUUCUUUACACGAAAGAAUAAUUUGUUUUAUAGAACGCAAGCACAAAAAAAUAUGGAACUUGCCAAUCUAACAAUUAGGCUGGGUCUUUCCUCCGGACUACAGGUUCAAAAGCUUCAAGAUCUACCAAUAGGGGAAUAUACAUCUCUACAAGUGGGGAACCCACAAAUCCUCCAUGCCCAUCACCACCCGUUGCCGUCGACCUUGUCUACAACACACUGGACAUCACCCGCAGACGUCACUCAGACUCUCCACACUCCCACGUCAAUACCCCUCUCUUUUCACGCCCUCCUCAUCCCACGCCUCGAAUCCCUUCCCUCGUCCAUCUCUUCGUUGCCCUCCUCAACAACUGCUUCCCAUCUCAUACGCUCUAAUCCACCCCGCACCACCUCCUUUACCACAAACCUCCACCUCUCCGUCGUCGCCCCGGUGACCUCCCCCUCCCAUGCGCAUGUCAUCGUAUGAUCCUCGCAUCCUUCACUCCAACCACCUUCACCACGCUCAUCACUUCAGUACCCUUCGUCCUGCGCCAACUUCGUCAACAACGCCGCGAACAGUUCGUCUCUCUUCUGUGCUCGGGCCUCGUCUCGGAUUCUCUUCUGUUCCUCACGCUCUCGCCACAUGUGCUCCCUCGCAAUCCGCUCCUGUUCCAGCUUCUCCAUCGCGUCUCUCCACUCCUGCUCCCGCAACCGCCGCUCCUGUUCUCUCCUCUCCACCGACUCCCUCCACUGCUCCUCCACCCUCUGCUGCUGCUGGAAGAAGUCCUCCAACACUUCUUGCAUGCUGUUGGCACGAUACUUCUCCGCUGUUACACGAGGCCGGUUGUUCUCCUUCUCGUUUUUCCUCUUCUUCCUCUGCACAACACGGUCCUCUUCGCUCUCUUCCUCCUCAUCGUCGUCCUCACUGUCAUCGUCAUCAUCACUUUUGGUUUUGCCCCUCUUGCCUUUCUUCUUGCCUCGAGACCCUAGCUCGGAUUCCAGCAGGCUUUUGUCUGAGUUCUUGGCACGUUCUUUGAAAAUAGCAUCAAGUUCAUCAAAGAAAGGGCAUUGCCUGCCAUUCUCAGGAUAAAUGGGAUCCUUACCCUGCGGAAACUGCAUAUUAGCAAGGUAGCCCACAAAUCAGUACAAUAAGAGUAAGCGUAUAUAAAUUUCUAACCUUACCACAAAAUCUCAGCUGAAGGAUUCAUUUCAUAUUAAUGGAAUGACCAAACAUGACCAGCACAACGAUGGUCCAGAAUUUGGGGCGGGGUGGUACAGGAUGUAGAUGAGACCUCGUAAUCAGGCUCGGACGUCUCCUUCCCCUGUAAGCCAAACACAUGAUUGAUAAGACAAAUAGUGCAAAAACAAACGACCUCUUCACAAUCAAGCAAGUUCACAAUGCUGAUUAAGGAUGCAGGCAUGAGAGGCAUUAGACGUUUAAGACGAAAGAAAGGCCACUUGAGAGGUAAUAUGAAGUGCGCAGUAAGGAUACUCCAGUUUUGAGCAGAAUUAAAUGCCCCAAAAGCUUUAAACUCAUGCAAGGGAAGAAACAUGACCGACAUUUAAAAGAAAGUUUUAAAAAUAAUGUUUUGUACAAUCCAACAUGCAGCUAAGGCUAUCUGUACGACAGUUCCUAACAUAAUUCUCCACCAGUUGAUAAGACAACGAUAUCACUUGUAGCUUGCUUUGACAAGAGAAAGAAAGGUGCUAACAAGGCUGCGGAAAGAAAUGGAAUUGGGUGUCGGCUAAGGCGUGACGCUAUGAAAUAGCGAAGCACAAGCAUAAUGUUCAAAAUAAACUCCACGGCACUCAGUCAAGCACCGUUAACGUCCAGGAUUAUGGCUUGUGUUUGCGUGAACGAAAAUUUGAUACACAACGCAGACAAGUACCUUGUAACGGUUGACCAGGUUCUUCCAUUUACAUUUGCAUUGAUCCGCACUCCUCCGAUACCCCUUCUCUUUCAUUUUCCUCUCAAUGAGCACCCACAGCGUUUUGUUCCGCCUGGUCUGUGUGAAGUCCUUCUCCAACUCAGCUCGAACAGCGAUGAACUCCUUGGUUUCAUGGUAUCCCCACUGGGGAAUACGGUCCUCCUUCUUGUGACCCCGACCGCGACCCGGGGUGAGAGACCCCAAAUCAGGGUGGUUCAUGUCGUGCGACCCCGGCACAGACAGGAAAAUCGGCAGCACGCCCAAAUUCUCCCCCGCCAGCACCGUCGGCCGCGCCUGGUACGCCAGCUUGAACAAUUCUCCUUAACCCCUCUCUGGCAACGAUUACUGCAGCCUCUCAAAGACUGCGCAAUUCUUCUGGCUGUUUCGCUCUAACCCUUGCCAGUACGAACCCUGUUGUCUCAACUGUCCAUCAUGUUCGCCAUUCAAACCUCUUUUUUGAGCAAAAUCGCCGACCCACGCCACUCUCUCCCACUUUCAGGCCAUCCCCAAAAACCUAAAUAAUCCUUCACGUCCUUUUUCACUCCCUUCCUCCCUCCUUCCCUCUCUUCCUCCUUCCCUCCCUCCCUCCCUCUUUCACUCGCUCACUACGCAAUAUUUGCCUGCAAGCGCAUCCACACACGGCGAAGCUCUACGACCACGACACACGAGUCAUAGCAACUCCACAUGAUGAAGCUCGAAAGAAAUCAGCAUUCCCUUCCUUCGCAUCGCACAACGUACCCUCCAAAACCAUCUGCUCCACCAAAUUAUCCCGACACGGGGUAAAAUCAUGCCAGCUCCCCAAAACCUCUCGGGCUACCUCUCCAAAGCCAACCUUGAUGGGGUCCGCUUCGGCACUUUCCCAAAUCCUCCCACAACCCCUCCUCCUCCCCCUCCCCGGGCUUCUUCUUGCCUCGUGAAGCCAGCUCCCACAACUCCACUCUCCCAUAUAAAGGCCGCAUUGUUCUUCACCCCCUGUCUCCCCUUUCUUUCUUUCUUUUCGCCGCCGUUGGCCUGACCCGGCGUGACAAAGAACUCGUCGUCCUCGUCCUCCUCCCUCGUCUACAUUUCAACCCAUACGACGUCAAUCUCUAAUUCUAGAUUACGGCCCAUUGUGAAACCAGACUGAGCGAGCGAGAGAGCGAGUGAAAGAGUGAGUUAGCAAGUGUGUCUAGACAUUUGUUUACUUGUUUCUCCACUUCUACAAUUUCAUGGUUUUUUUAUACAGUUCUCAUGGAGAAUAAACCCAACCAUUUUGUAAAACAUUCACAUGGAUAUGGGGCGGCUUUUUACGGUUCAAUUCUACAAUUUCAUAAGUUGUUCUUAAAGUACUUUGGACUUUAGUACGUGUGUUGGUUUUAUUUUUAGUCGUGUAGUGUUUAUGGUGUUCUGUUUUUCUGGUGAAGUGGCAAUCUUUUUGGUUUCGGAAUGUUGUAGUGUGAAAUGAACGUUUAUUUGAGAUGUAAUGUGGCGCCAAAACCACUGUUCUGGACAAUUGAACUAGUUUAACUUAAAUGUAACUUUUGAGCUCAAAUUGAAGUAUAAUAUAAUAAAAUCCUGAGACCAAAAAGGAAUAAAAAAGCAAUGAUGAUUAAAAAAAUAUACAAAAAUGAAAAAAAAAAACCCUAUAUAUUGCUUUUAGAUAUUUUAUCAAUUCUCAUAAGCAACAAUAUUUGAUAAAUGUUACACAUACCUAAUCGAUUAAAAGUACAAUGUUAAAGAGAUAUAUGAUUCCCAAAACAUUGUUCAAAACCUAAUUCAGCAUUAAACGAUAAUGUUAACAAUAUUCAUAAUGCGAAAAUCUUAAGGUUAUCAUUGUAAACUCCAUCCAAACAUUCCUGCUGCAAUAGUGUAAUUGAAUAAAUCCAAAUACACAGCAAACAAUAAAAUUCAACCGAUGUAACACCUACAGCAGACAAUUGACAUGAUUGAUGUUAUUCAUCAUGUAAUUGAACGUUUCAUUAGGUUUUACGACACAUCAAGAACCACAGAAGUCAACAUGGGAAAGGGUGCAGAAGGCAGGAGACUGGUUGCAGAUUGGAAGUUACAGCUCAGAGUUUUCACAUGCAGUGUUGAAGGAUGAGCUAUGGGUACAGGAGACCUGUGAAGUCAGCUUCUGAAUGUCGUUUUCCCUGUUGAUGGAUGGUACAUCUAGAAUUCAGCGCAGGACUCUGAGUACCAUGCCCAUCCUGCUCUUAUCCGUGAUUUCCCCGCCUGUACGAAGUCUCCACUUCUCAGUUGUUCUGAUAGCACUCGACUGUGAAUUCAAGCUUCUACAAAAUGUCUGGUAAAGAUGCGCAUAAAUGUCCCUGGUGAAAGGCGCUCAGGCCUUGUUUGGGAAAGAGCGUCAGUGGCACUUCCAGACCUGGAAGUUUUUGAGUGACGAAGCUACUGGUGGAGGAGAGAGAGCAAUGUGAAUCUCACACGACCUUUGUGCCUUCACAAAAACCUGAUGAAACAAUCUGAAAAUAAGCACAAGGAGAUUAGAAACGUGUCAGGGUUGCCAUAACAGACUCGGACACCAGCAUAAAAUGCAUGUGGUCAGCAUGCUGGAUUCAUUAUUCAAGGAACCAUGGUACAAGAAGCUUGUGCUUCACUAGGAGGAGAGUCUUGAAAUAAGCAGCUGCCGCCUAACUCUCCUGAUAGAUUCUACAAUACAAAUAAACUAACACCUGGUACUUCAGUCAGCGAAAUCGACAGAGAAAAAUAGUGCCCAAACGAGGGAAGUUCCUCAAGAAAGAGGGCCCGCUGUGUGUACUAGAUCCGAUUGAUUAUAUCAAUUCAAUUCAUGCCUGCCCAAUUACUAGAGAGAAGAACGUCCUUCCAAUCAGCCUUUUAGGCAUAUACUUUGCAGCCGUAAAGUAAAAAUAGGGUUGUUCUUCCAAAGUUCUUCAGUAGUACUACUGAGAAGCAUAUUAUUGUACUCAUUUCCCAAAAUUCCAGCUAAUUGAGGCGAGACUUCAUAAGUUUUAGAAACAACAAGCGGCAAAAGUCUUGCAGGCGCCGGUUAGACUCUGUGACGAAAGGAUGCUUGAGUGCAUUCUUCGCUGUAAGCCUUUUGAAGGUUCAAACUUCAGCAAACCUUGUAAAAAACCAAUAAGAAGCCCUUCAG